AUAAGAGGUCCAGCCUGCCCAGUGACACUGUUCAACGGCCGCGGUAUCCUAACCGUGCGAAGGUAGCGUAAUCACUUGUCCUUUAAAUGGGGACUAGUAUGAACGGCACCACGAGGGUUAUACUGUCUCCUUUUUCUAAUCAGUGAAUCUAAUCUCCCCGUGAAGAAGCGGGGUUACAACUAUAAGACGAGAAGACCCUAUGGAGCUUUAAACAAAACAACAUUUGCUAAGUCACACACGAAUCUCAGGAAAUUAACUCUUAUUUUAGCCCUAUGAUUGUUAGUUUUAGGUUGGGGUGACCGCGGAGUAAAAAACAACCUCCACAAUGAAUAGGGCCCUCCCUUAAGCAAAAAGCCACAACUUUACGCAUCAACAAAAUUGACAUUAAUUGACCCAAUAUUUUGAUCAACGAAACAAGUUACCCUAGGGAUAACAGCGCAAUCCACUUCAAGAGCCCGUAUCGACAAGUGGGUUUACGACCUCGAUGUUGGAUCAGGG
rnacentral:rRNA from 1 species